rnacentral:rRNA from 1 species
UACGAAGGGUGCAAGCGUUAAUCGGAAUUACUGGGCGUAAAGGGUGCGUAGGCGGUUCGUUAAGUCUGUCGUGAAAUCCCCGGGCUCAACCUGGGAAUGGCGAUGGAUACUGGCGAGCUAGAGUGUGUCAGAGGAUGGUGGAAUUCCCGGUGUAGCGGUGAAAUGCGUAGAGAUCGGGAGGAACAUCAGUGGCGAAGGCGGCCAUCUGGGACAACACUGACGCUGAAGCAUGAAAGCGUGGGGAGCAAACAGG